rnacentral:rRNA from 1 species
UAGGGAAUCUUCCGCAAUGGACGAAAGUCUGACGGAGCAACGCCGCGUGAGUGAAGAAGGUUUUCGGAUCGUAAAACUCUGUUAUCAGGGAAGAACAAGUACCGUCUAACUAACGGUACCUUGACGGUACCUGACCAGAAAGCCACGGCUAACUACGUGCCAGCAGCCGCGGUAAUACGUAGGUGGCAAGCGUUGUCCGGAAUUAUUGGGCGUAAAGCGCGCGCAGGCGGUUUCUUAAGUCUGAUGUGAAAUCUCGCGGCUCAACCGUGAGCGGUCAUUGGAAACUGGGAAACUUGAGUGCAGAAGAGAAGAGCGGAAUUCCACGUGUAGCGGUGAAAUGCGUAGAGAUGUGGAGGAACACCAGUGGCGAAGGCGGCUCUUUGGUCUGUAACUGACGCUGAGGCGCGAAAGCGUGGGGAGCGAACAGG